rnacentral:piRNA from 1 species
UCCUGCCUUGAUGAUUAAUUGUUCUCCUG